GCUUACGGCCAUACCACCUUAGGCACGCCCGAUCUCGUCUGAUCUCGGAAGCUAAGCAGGGUCGGGCCUGGUUAGUCCUUGGAUGGGUGACCGCCUGGGAAUACCAGGUGCUAUAAGCA
ensembl:rRNA 5S_rRNA 5S ribosomal RNA